rnacentral:rRNA from 1 species
UACGAAGGGGGCUAGCGUUGCUCGGAAUCACUGGGCGUAAAGGGUGCGUAGGCGGGUCUUUAAGUCAGAGGUGAAAUCCUGGAGCUCAACUCCAGAACUGCCUUUGAUACUGAGGAUCUUGAGUCCGGGGAGAGGUGAGUGGAACUGCGAGUGUAGAGGUGAAAUUCGUAGAUAUUCGCAAGAACACCAGUGGCGAAGGCGGCUCACUGGCCCGGUACUGACGCUGAGGCACGAAAGCGUGGG